CAAGAGCCUGGCUUAGGAGGCCACGCUAGAUCCAGGGCUGCAGGAGCACUCUGGAGACUUUCACGUUGAGAACAGAAAAUGAACAAGCAGAGCCACCUAGAAGAUAUGUGUGGUGAGAUAUUUCACUGAUCUUUGGACAUGUGUGCUGAAGCCUGUCUAGUCACCAGGAUGCAGAGGACCACAGGCUGAGAGAAUUUCAGCAAUAACUGAACACUGGCUCUGACUUUGGGUUCCUUACCCUUUUCUUGCAAUAUGCCAAGGACUGAAGAAAGAGGAAAUGAGACUCCAGUCUCACUGCUGUGAUCACCAGCCCUGCCUCGCCAGCCCAGAAUCCAUGGAUCCAAGGACCACAGAUGGAAAGCUCCAAAGACACGAGCUAAAAUAAACAAUUUGCCCUUUAAGUUGUUUCUGCCAGGUAAAUCCUGGUCUCUGGCCUCCAUCUCCUGUGCCUGCCAAACCUUGACUCCUCCCAGAGGAGGUCAGGACCAUUC